ACACAGGCAUUUUAUCAUCUCACAUCAUCACAGGAGGGGUGAGUACAGUGAGACAAGAUGUUUUGAGAGCCAGAGACCACGUUCACAUAACUUUUAUUACAAUUUGAAGAUUGAAUUUGGUAGUCUUCUGACCAUGUUGCUGCCAUCCAUCACUCACAAAUCAACUCAUCAUGACCUGUAACCAGGAACGAAGAGUUGCAAACUUGCCAGCUAGCAAUGAAUUGAACUCAGUUGAACUCUGAUGCAGAAAAGGUUUAUUUGGAGAGAAAGCAAGAAGGGAAGGGGCAGAGAGAGGAAGAGACAGAAUCCCAAGGAGUCUCUCCACAGUCUCUGCAGAGCUCAGUCGUGGGGCUUGAACUCACAAACCCAUGAGAUCAUGACAUGAGCUGAGAUUGAGAUCCAAAAGCUUAGCCAACUAAGCCACCCAGGCACCCCUCAACAUUGAUCUUUUGAAUUACUCACUUUGGAUGAAACCAGUUGCUAUGCUGUGGUCAAGCAGUUCUAUGAAAAGGAACUGAGAUCUCCCAUGAAGAGCCAGCACCAACCAAAUGAACACCUUGGAAGUGGAUUUGCAACCAGAGUCAAGCCUUCAGAUGACGUCAGCCCCAAAUGUGGACAUCUGACAGUAACUUCACGAGAGACCCCAAGCCAGAACUGCCCAGCCAAGCCACACCUAAUUUCCUGACCCACAGAAAUACAUGCGAGAAUAAAUGAUUACAGUUGUGUUAAGCCACUAAAUUUUGAAGCAAUUUAAUAUGUAGAAAUAGAUCAUUUAUACAAUUGGGAUCAGAACUCAGAUUUGUCUGACCUGAGAACCAUAUCUCUUAUUAUUUUUUUCCCCCUUACUACCUAUGUUAUAAAAUAGCUUGUCUUGCUGAGUGUGACUCAAAUAGUAGCCCCAGGAGUAAAGUAUGGAAUCCAGGAGAGUAUUUGAUUCUAAAACCACACAAUAUGCCCCAGUUAGAAAGCUAACAAUUGUAGCUUCAACCUUCAACUCCAAAUAAAAGGUUGUUUUCCUAA